AGCGAACGCUGGCGGCAGGCUUAACACAUGCAAGUCGAGCGGGCAUAGCAAUAUGUCAGCGGCAGACGGGUGAGUAACGCGUGGGAACGUACCUUUCGGUUCGGAACAACACAGGGAAACUUGUGCUAAUACCGGAUAAGCCCUUACGGGGAAAGAUUUAUCGCCGAAAGAUCGGCCCGCGUCUGAUUAGCUAGUUGGUGAGGUAAUGGUGACCCAAGGCGACGAUCAGUAGCUGGUCUGAGAGGAUGAUCAGCCACCUUGGGACUGAGACACGGCCCAAACUCCUACGGGAGGCAGCAGUGGGGAAUAUUGGACAAUGGGCGCAAGCCUGAUCCAGCCAUGCCGCGUGAGUGAUGAAGGCCCUAGGGUUGUAAAGCUCUUUUGUGCGGGAAGAUAAUGACGGUACCGCAAGAAUAAGCCCCGGCUAACUUCGUGCCAGCAGCCGCAGUAA
rnacentral:rRNA from 1 species